rnacentral:tRNA from 1 species
CGGGCGGAUGGGGCGGGCGGCGCGCCGCCUGGCAGGCGGCGCUCGCCGCGCUGGCGCUGGCGCUGCUGCUGCCAGCGCUGCACGCCUGGC